GUUGGUGAGGUAACGGCUCACCAAGGCGACGACGGGUAGCCGGCCUGAGAGGGCGACCGGCCACACUGGGACUGAGACACGGCCCAGACUCCUACGGGAGGCAGCAGUGGGGAAUAUUGCACAAUGGGCGCAAGCCUGAUGCAGCGACGCCGCGUGAGGGAUGAAGGCCUUCGGGUUGUAAACCUCUUUCAGCAGGGAAGAAGCUCUUGAGUGACGGUACCUGCAGAAGAAGCGCCGGCUAACUACGUGCCAGCAGCCGCGGUAAUACGUAGGGCGCGAGCGUUGUCCGGAAUUAUUGGGCGUAAAGAGCUCGUAGGCGGCUUGUCGCGUCGGUUGUGAAAGCCCGGGGCUUAACUCCGGGUCUGCAGUCGAUACGGGCAGGCUAGAGUUCGGUAGGGGAGAUCGGAAUUCCUGGUGUAGCGGUGAAAUGCGCAGAUAUCAGGAGGAACACCGGUGGCGAAGGCGGAUCUCUGGGCCGAUACUGACGCUGAGGAGCGAAAGCGUGGGGAGCGAACAGGAUUAGAUACCCUGGUAGUCCACGCCGUAAACGGUGGGCACUAGGUGUGGGCGGCAUUCCACGUCGUCCGUGCCGUAGCUAACGCAUUAAGUGCCCCGC
rnacentral:rRNA from 1 species